rnacentral:rRNA from 1 species
AGAGUUUGAUCCUGGCUCAGGACGAACGCUGGCGGCGUGCCUAAUACAUGCAAGUCGAGCGAACCGAUGGGAGCUUGCUCCCUGACGUGAGCGGCGGACGGGUGAGUAACACGUGGGCAACCUGCCCGUAAGACUGGGAUAACUUCGGGAAACCGGAGCUAAUACCGGAUGAUCCCUUUUCCCAGGUGGGAAAAGGUUAAAAGGUGGCAUUAGCUACUACUUACGGAUGGGCCCGCGGCGCAUUAGCUAGUUGGUGAGGUAACAGCUCACCAAGGCCACGAUGCGUAGCCGACCUGAGAGGGUGAUCGGCCACACUGGGACUGAGACACGGCCCAGACUCCUACGGGAGGCAGCAGUAGGGAAUCUUCCGCAAUGGACGCAAGUCUGACGGAGCAACGCCGCGUGAGUGAUGAAGGUCUUCGGAUCGUAAAACUCUGUUGUUAGUGAAGAACAAGUACCGUUCAAAUAGGUCGGUACCUUGACGGUAACUAACGAGAAAGCCACGGCUAACUACGUGCCAGCAGCCGCGGUAAUACGUAGGUGGCAAGCGUUGUCCGGAAUUAUUGGGCGUAAAGGGCGCGCAGGCGGCCGAUUAAGUCUGAUGUGAAAUCCCACGGCUUAACCGUGGAAGGUCAUUGGAAACUGAUUGGCUUGAGUGCAGAAGAGGAGAGUGGAAUUCCACGUGUAGCGGUGAAAUGCGUAGAUAUGUGGAGGAACACCAGUGGCGAAGGCGGCUCUCUGGUCUGCAACUGACGCUGAGGCGCGAAAGCGUGGAUAGCAAACAGGAUUAGAUACCCUGGUAGUCCACGCUGUAAACGAUGAGUGCUAAGUGUCAGGGGGUUUCCGCCCCUUGGUGCUGGAGUUAACGCAUUAAGCACUCCGCCUGGGGAUUACGGCCGCAAGGCUGAAACUCAAAGGAAUUGACGGGGGCCCGCACAAGCGGUGGAGCAUGUGGUUUAAUUCGAAGCUACGCGAAGAACCUUACCAGGUCUUGACAUCCUCUGCUACUUUUAGAGAUAAAAGGUUCCCCUUCGGGGGACAGAGUGACAGGUGGUGCAUGGUUGUCGUCAGCUCGUGUCGUGAGAUGUUGGGUUAAGUCCCGCAACGAGCGCAACCCUUAGUUUUAGUUGCCAGCACGUAAAGGUGGGCACUCUAGAGCGACUGCCGGUGACAAACCGGAGGAAGGUUGGGAUGACGUCAAAUCAUCAUGCCCCUUAUGACCUGGGCUACACACGUGCUACAAUGGAUGGUACAACGGGGAGCGAAGCCGUGAGGCGGAGCAAAUCUCAGAAAACCAUUCUCAGUUCGGAUUGCAGGCUGCAACUCGCCUGCAUGAAGUCGGAAUCGCUAGUAAUCGCGGAUCAGCAUGCCGCGGUGAAUUCGUUCCCGGGCCUUGUACACACCGCCCGUCACACCACGAGAGUUUGUAACACCCGAAGUCGGUGAGGCAACCAUUUGGAGCCAGCCGCCGAAGGUGGGACAAAUGAUUGGGGUGAAGUCGUAACAAGGUA